rnacentral:lncRNA from 10 species
CACAACUUGGCUAUAGUUUUCUAACAGCCUUGUCUACACAUGUAACCAGUUUACUCUUAAGUCCCUGGAUUAGUUAGUCAAAAGGUGCUCUAGAGAAACAGAACCAAAGAAUGUGUAUACAGAGGCAUAUUUAUUUCAAAGAAUUGGCUCAUGUAAUUGUGAAAGCUUGGUUAAGGCCAAAAUUAAGCAGGGCAGAGACUUAGGAAAGAGUUGCAGUUGUGUUCAAAAGCAGUCAGCUGGCUGAAUUUAUCCUCACUUGGAAAAGCAAGUAAAGUUGAGGAUGUAUUGUCAGAUCCUUGUACAGAAGAAAAGAAGUGAAAAUAAUGAAAACAAUGGCAAGAGAAGUUACUAUUUCCCAGAGGAAAAACGCUGCUGUAAAAGGAGCUCAUAUAUUUUAGCUGUGGUGUUAAUUUUGAAGUCAGCAUGAGUCAUUAAAUUAAAGUAUUGUAAUUUGGAAAUAUAUUUAAAAUGAAAAGAAA